ACGUGGUCAGAUUCUCUUCGUGACAUAAACACUCAUCAUCACAGUCAGAAAUCAUUUAUGCAAGAUUGGAAAUGAAGAAGGAAUUGAGGAAGGUAUUUUGCCUUUUCUGUGAAGACAGAGGUGUGUCAUGGGAGAAGGGCAUAACAAUGUGAGGACUUCAUCCUGGUUCCUGUGUCAGGACCUCAGAGGUCCUGAGGACCUCAGAGGACCUCUGAGUUUUCACUGAGAUCGUGGACAAGCUAUGCUAAGACCUGUCCAUAUCUUGUAUAUAAUCAUUUCUGUUUCUUCAUUUGGACAUGCAACAGAUAUGUAGUUAUGAUGGAGACAGGAGACAUGUCAUGAGAUUCACCUGGCCUGCAAAUGGGAUCUGAAGAGGCAGAGGAGGACAGUGACACGACUUCUGGCUGUCAGUCAUUCAUCAUAUCGAGGGCCCCUUCAAAAGAUCUGCGCCUGCCUCAGGUGAAAUAGAUGUCAAAUUUGCCUGAAGGACAUGGAUCAAAGAGUACUGUCAACUCAGACUACACACAUAAAAACAGCCUACAGCUGAAUUGCCUUUUUUUCUACUGAAGCAAAGUUUCUCCUCGCGUGGGUGUUGCACAAAAUACAUAUUUUAAUCAGCUUAAAAUGUAUUUUAAUUAUUUGCAAUGACCUCACAUUUUCCUCUAUGGAAAAAUAAAUAUUAUAUAAGAUAAUUGGCAGUGUUGGACUAAUUCUUGCUGUCUCAGAUCUGUGGGA